rnacentral:rRNA from 1 species
GGGGAAGGGUAGCUUGCUACCUGACCUAGCGGCGGACGGGUGAGUAAUGCUUAGGAAUCUGCCUAUUAGUGGGGGACAACAUUCCGAAAGGAAUGCUAAUACCGCAUACGCCCUACGGGGGAAAGCAGGGGAUCUUCGGACCUUGCGCUAAUAGAUGAGCCUAAGUCAGAUUAGCUAGUUGGUGGGGGUAAAGGCCUACCAAGGCGACGAUCUGUAGCGGGUCUGAGAGGAUGAUCCGCCACACUGGGACUGAGACACGGCCCAGACUCCUACGGGAGGCAGCAGUGGGGAAUAUUGGACAAUGGGCGAAAGCCUGAUCCAGCCAUGCCGCGUGUGUGAAGAAGGCCUUUUGGUUGUAAAGCACUUUAAGCGAGGAGGAGGCUACUGAGAUUAAUACUCUUGGAUAGUGGACCGUUACUCGCAGAAUAAGCACCGGCUAACUCUUGUGCCAGCAGCCGCGGUAAUACAGAGGGUGCGAGCGUUAAUCGGAUUUACUGGGC